rnacentral:rRNA from 1 species
GAUGAACGCUGGCGGCGUGCCUAAUACAUGCAAGUCGAGCGAACGGACGAGAAGCUUGCUCCUCUGAUGUUAGCGGCGGACGGGUGAGUAACACGUGGAUAACCUACCUAUAAGACUGGGAUAACUUCGGGAAACCGGAGCUAAUACCGGAUGAUAUUUUGAACCGCAUGGUUCAAAAGUGAAAGACGGUCUUGCUGUCACUUAUAGAUGGAUCCGCGCUGCAUUAGCUAGUUGGUAAGGUAACGGCUUACCAAGGCAACGAUGCAUAGCCGACCUGAGAGGGUGAUCGGCCACACUGGAACUGAGAAACGGUCCAGACUCCUAAGGGAGGCAGCAGUAGGGAAUAUUCCGCAAUGGGCGAAAGCCUGACGGGACAACGCCGCGUGAGUGAUGAAGGUCUUCGGAUCGUAAAACUCUGUUAUUAGGGAAGAACAUAUGUGUAAGUAAAUGUGCACAUCUUGACGGUACCUAAUCAGAAAGCCACGGCUAACUACGUG